rnacentral:rRNA from 1 species
AUUGAACGCUGGCGGCAGGCCUAACACAUGCAAGUCGAGCGGCAGCGGGACCUUCAGGUUGCCGGCGAGCGGCGGACGGGUGAGUAAUGCCUAGGAAUCUGCCUGUUAGUGGGGGAUAACGCGGGGAAACUCGCGCUAAUACCGCAUACGUCCUACGAGAGAAAGGGGGGGACCUUCGGGCCUCCCGCUAACAGAUGAGCCUCGGUCGGAUUAGCUAGUUGGUGGGGUAACGGCCCACCAAGGCGACGAUCCGUAACUGGGCUGAGAGGAUGAUCAGUCACACUGGAACUGAGACCCGGUCCAGACUCCUACGGGAGGCAGCAGUGGGGAAUAUUGGACAAUGGGCGAAAGCCUGAUCCAGCCAUGCCGCGUGUGUGAAGAAGGUCUUCGGAUUGUAAAGCACUUUAAGCCGGGAGGAAGGGCUGUAGGCGAAUACCCUGCAGUCUUGACGUUACCGGCAGAAUAAGCACCGGCUAACUUCGUGCCAGCCGCCGCGGUAAAAC